rnacentral:tRNA from 1 species
CUAACGUGGUGUGAUUGUGCAUGCUACAUUUUGGUUGUAGUGGUGAUUAGUUGUCCAUUAGU